GGCAACCCGCUCAGGUCCCCUUCCACACUGUGGAAGCUUUGUUCUUUUGCUCUUUGCAAUAAAUCUUGCUACUGCUCACUCUUUGGGUCCACGCUGCCUUUAUGAGCUGUAACACUCACCACGAAGGUCUGCAGCUUCACUGCUGAAGCCAGCGAGACCACGAACCCACCAGAAGGAAGAAACUCCGAACACAUCUGAACGUCAGAAGGAACAACUCGGGAGGAACGGACGACUCCAGACGCAACGCCUUAAGAGCUGUAACACUCACCGCGAGGGUCCGCAGCUUCAUUCUUGAAGUCAGUGGGACCAAGAACCCACCAAUUCCGGACACAGAACUAAAGAAGGGGGACUGGUCAAUAUCAAAGACUAGGCACUUGUCUGCAAAGAAAAGACAGUUGUGAGUAGCCUGUACAGCAAGCCCUGAAAUUUCAUAGAAAUCUCUGGAGGAAUUCCUUGGAAGACAUAAAGCCAAGUGAGGUAAUGUUUUAUUUCUAUGUGGUCAUCAAACUGCCAUUUGUUUGGUUCAUCCUCAAAGGAGAUAAGUAUCUCAUUUUCACAUCUCUCGAGACAAACAGAGCAAACUUGCACAAAAUCAACAUGAAGUCCCUCUUGGCUUGUAAGAAUACUCACACUUUUGUUCAUAUCCAGUUUAUUUGAAUGCAAUUUUGUGAAGCCUUGGUAAUAUUUCCAUUACAUCUGAAAUACACUGAUCAAUGUGUGAUUUGAGUUUUCCUCAAAAGUCCUCCAUCUUUCUGGGGGGGAAGUAUGAUGUUAAUACAUAGUGGUGUAUCUUAAAGACGUCUGCUGUAUUUUACUUGUUGAAAAACUUAAUGAUAAAUACAUGAAAGGAA